UACGUAGGGAGCAAGCGUUGUCCGGAUUUAUUGGGCGUAAAGGGCUGGUAGGCGGUUCAGCAAGUCGGGUGUGAAAACUCUAGGCUCAACCUGGAGAGGCCACCCGAUACUGCUGUGACUUGAGUCUGGUAGGGGAGCACGGAAUUCCUGGUGUAGCGGUGAAAUGCACAGAUAUCAGGAGGAACACCGGUGGCGAAGGCGGUGCUCUGGGCCAGUACUGACGCUGAAUAGCGAAAGCGUGGGUAGCGAACAGG
rnacentral:rRNA from 1 species